rnacentral:rRNA from 1 species
CCCUUAGAUGUUCUGGGCUGCACGCGUGCUACAAUGGCGUUUCCAGCAAGUCUGCGAACCCGGGAGGGCCAGCGGAUCUUCGAAUUGGCGUCGUGAUCGGGACAGUCGAUUGCAAUUAUUUGACUCAAACGAGGAAUUCCUUGUAAUCGCGAUUCAUCAUAUCGCGCUGAAUACGUCCCUGCCCUUUGUACACACCGCCCGUCGCUCCUACCGAUUGAGCGAUCCGGUAAAUGUUUUGGAUUGGUGCCGGGGCGGCUAGCUGCCGGUCGCUACGAAAUUUUGUGAACCUUAUCGCUUAGAGGAAGGAAAAGUCGUAACA